UACAGAGGGUGCGAGCGUUAAUCGGAAUUACUGGGCGUAAAGCGUGCGUAGACGGUUAUUUAAGUCGGAUGUGAAAUCCCCCAGGCUUAACCUGGGAACUGCAUCCGAUACUGGAUGGCUUGAAUCCGGGAGAGGGAUGCGGAAUUCCAGGUGUAGCGGUGAAAUGCGUAGAUAUCUGGAGGAACACCGGUGGCGAAGGCGGCAUCCUGGACCGGCAUUGACGCUGAGGAGCGAAAGCCAGGGGAGGCAAACGGG
rnacentral:rRNA from 1 species